rnacentral:lncRNA from 1 species
GUUUUUUUUUUUGUCUGAAAGGAGAUGGAUGUUCGAAGAGGGAAACUGGAUCUUACGUUGUUAUGUAUUGUAUGAUUAUUCAUAUAACGGGUCCAUAUCAUUUACCUAACCUUGCUUUGUGUUUAGGUUAUUAAUGGCAGAUCAUAACUCUGAUGUUUCUUGUAAAUAAAAAGGAAACGUGUGCUGGUUAGAAUUAGAAACACCACUGUUUUAUGUUACCGGUUUUCUGAAUUUGUUAGGAAGUUUCGGUUUUUUCUCGGUUAUGCGCUAUUCGGUUUUCUCGGUUCAAAUCUCGAAGCCGGUGGAAUCAAUAUAUAUAUUGUUACUUUGAUUACUAAACCGAGUCACUAAUAUUGCUGUUUAUGUAAUCUGAUUCUUGUUAGUAUUAUUGUUAUAGGUUUGAUCGGUUAGGUUAUUUGGAUUUAUAUGGUUUUCUUUUGUACAUUUAUAUGAGAACCUUAGUUUUUACGGUGGACUCGGAAUACCACUCCGUUCGAAUUAUGAAACUCUUGUCACACUUUUUUAAUUUUUAUGAUCACUAAACCGUGAAAUUUUGUGGUAGCUCAACAUCUUCGGUAUAAUUCGGUUCGGUUAGGGGAUUUGGAUUUGGCUUUAUGUUGAAGGAGGAUGGUUGGAGAGAGAAAGACAAGUCAAAAGGCAAUGCAACACACAAAUGUUUUAAAACUUGAGAGUGUAGAUGAAAAGGAGCUGUUUGGUGGUUACAAGACAUAACUUUACAUCUAAAUAAAGUCUUUGAACAAAGACAUUGGAGCUUCAACUUCAGAAUUUACUUUUUGAGGACUAAUUUCUUCUCUAAUUUCGAUUGCGACCUUUUUCUCUUAAGCUAUUCAGUCUCGUCCACACCCAAACAAGAAGUCUUUGUAGUUUGUACUUCAAGACUUUUUGCCUUUCCAGUGUAAUAAUAUUUGCAUGUUUUAAUUUCUGCUAGUUAUGGAAUGUUUUUGGGCCUAUAUAUGUCUACGGCUACGGCCUCUAUGAAAUAUCGUUACCAAUCUAAUAUCUUGCUAAAACACUCGAAAAUGUAUCCAUUUUCAGAAUUUUUUUUUUCUAUCAUGUUUAUAUGCUUGAAUAUUAAUUAAAAAAGAAUCAUUUUUUUGGUUAAAAAAAAUAAUAAAUGCUACUUAUAGGUCUUGAAUGGGAACACAACUGUUUUAAGAUUUCUUUCAAAUACGCUUUACUACUACCAAUCACAAUUUAUUACACUAAUUUGCGUUUUUUACAAAAAAGAAAAAGUAAAUCCGCUCACAUUUUUCGAGACAACUCUAUUACUUAACAUAUAGAAUAACGCACUUCAGUUAACACUCCAUGUAAAAUCCAGCGGUACAAACAAAAACGCAUAUCCAUUGAAAAAUCAUUAAUAUUUUCUGUACUCACCAAAAAUCACAUAUGCAAAGGAAGAAGAAUAAAUAAUUUUUUCCCUCUCUUUUUAUGGUAAAUACAUAGAACAAAAUAGUCAAAUUAAGUUUCAUAAAAUUUUGUGUUUAGUUCAUUUUUUUUAAAAGCUUAAUUAGUUCAAAGCUAACUAAAAUUAGUUUACUAAUAUAUCAAAAUUUAAAUGAAUAUAUAUCUUUCUUAUUUAAUUUGAUUUAUGAAUGUUCAAUUAUAACAUUUUAUUGUAUACUACAAGUAGAUUUUUUAAAGUGUUGUAUUUUUUAAUGAUUAACUCUUUAAUUGAUAGAACAUUAUGUAUGUCAAAAAUUAAAAUUUUACGUUCAACAAUUUGGAUAUUUAAAAUUAUAAAUGUAUGAAAAUAUUUUUUAAUUAACAUCAAACAAACAAUAAUAUACAAUUAUACUAAUUAUUAAUAUAAUAAUAUUGUAAUAUAUUUAUGAUAAUAUAUAAUCGCACCGCUUUUUUUUGUUUUGCCAAUCACACAUUUAGUUGUGUACCGCAAAUAGUUUUUUCACCAGUCAAACAUUAUUUUGUACCGCUUAUUUUAUAAAAACCGCACUUGUCCCGCAAAUACAACAGUUGAACCGUACCGCACUAUAAAAUCGCUUUUUCCGCACAAUCAAAUACGCUGUUACCAUUCGGUUACCACUCGGACCAUAAAAUAAAGAAUCAUGCGGUCGAGUUAUCAAGAAAACGACAAAAGUUACGUGACAACUAGAGACUAAUCAUUGAUAAAUGAUGGAGCUUGUUUAAUGCCCUAGGAUUUUGUAGUUGUGUUUUUUUUUUCCGAAAUAGUUGUAAAAUUUGGAGUAUGUCUUCACCAAAAAUAAUAUUUAUGAAAAAGUGGUUGAAGCAAAACAGAUAAAACAAAAAAAACAUAAAAGCAUCAAGAUUCAUGAUAAAUACAACAAAAAUAUUUUUGGUUUCAUGAUGCUUCGAAUUCAUGAGAUUUCACGAAACUUCAAAACUCUAUGCUUAUCUCGUUCUGGACCUUGUGGUGACAUGGUUGGAAUUUGGAAGCUGAAAAAUAAUAGUACAUUUCCCUUUUGGUUUUCCAAAUACUUGAACGAUAUGAUUAGUUUUUCUUCUUCUCCUUGUCCUUGGAAUUGGUUGAUUCACUGUUUGAACACUCAACACGACUUUUAUCUAAAAUCUUAACGGAAAGCUCAAGCAGUACUAAGCGAACGAAAAAUAGGUUGAAUGGUGAUCAUGUUAUGUUACAUGUAAAAUAAUCAUCAAGAUUAGUUUUUUAGUUAAUAUUUGUUAAGUAGCCAAAUUGGUAAUUUUUCGAUUUGAAAUGUUCGUCGUUGAAAUUUGCAAUGGACACAAUGUUAAUUUUCUAACACAUAAAACAUGAAAUUUAUAAUGGGAAUGAAAAGGAGAGCAUAAAAUGGUAUCGAUGUAAAAGGGACAAAGAGAUGAAUACAAGGUACUUUUAAAAUAAAUAAAAAAUAAAAAACAUGAAAUUUGAAGAGAAUUUUUAAAAUUUAUAUUGCAUACAUACAAAUAUACGUACACUAAUACAAAUAACAUGAAAGACGUCAAAUAUAUAUUACUUAAUGAUAUGCCCUGUAUAACUUGGAUACCUCUUAAUUAUGAUUUCAAUAGCUAUAAUAGCCUUUAACCGAAUUGGCUGCCAUGUCUAGGGACCCAUGCUUGGGUACUAGCGAGGACGACAUCCAUUUAAGAUAAUCCAUCUUCCUUAAGAUGCAUUUAGUCAGCUUAAACCGUAGAUAAACAAACAUACCCCCUAGCGUCAAGCCAGCGAUAGCAAGAGUGGCAUAGAGCAACCAUUUUGUUUCUUCAAAAUAUGGUAAAAGGACCGAUGCCGCAGCCACAUAAGCACUUGCCAUAGCUGCAACAGCCACCCACAUCAUCCAAUGUGCGAUAACCAAGAACUUCUUUAGUGAAUCCUCCCUAUAAGGUAUAAUGCUGAGGAGAAGAAUGACCAUACUAACUGAUGUAAACAAUGCGAUGGUAUUGCUUAUCGAGAAGAUCAUGAAAGCUAGGGUUCUUCCUACGGUUGAUUUCCCUAUGUAGGGUCCCUCUUGAUGGACCCCACCAGGCGGGUUUAGACCGCAUGUGAAAGUAACCGAUGCAAUCAAGACAGCGACAAUUAUGAUUGUAUUCCUAGCGUUUUGCAAAGCCUCCAAUUGUAUCUCCAUUUGUUUGUUAGGACUCGGUCCCUCCAUUAGUAUCUCCAUUUCUUUGUUAGGACUCAAUCUACUAUGAACUCUUAGCAUCUGCGUCUGCAGCUUCUUCAAUACAUCUAAUACUUGGAUCUCAAGAUUUCCCAUUUCUCUAGGACUUGAAGGGUGUUCGAUUACUAUUUCCAGACCACACAUCAGAGCGGUAGAUAGCUGAUGGAAACCUUCAUCGUCUUCGUUGAGGAGGUCAAUCGCAGCAAAACCCUUUUUGUUUCUGGUGGUUACUUCUAUAUUUGUUUCGUCGAUUAUGUAAUUUACCAGCUGUGAUAUGUCCAAAUUGAAUAUAUUAAUUAAUUAAAUUAGGAGAUAAACAACAAAACCGCAUAUUUUUAAGUUUUCGGAUCAUAUAUCUUCUCAUGAAAAUAUUGUUUAAUGCAUCUAUAUAUAGUCUCAUAGAUAGAAGCAAAACAUCUCAUGAAAACAAAACAAAACAAAAAAUAAAGAGAAAGAGAAAACUUACGGCAAUAGAGCCUACGGAGGCAGCAACGUGAAGCACAUUAUUGCCCUCUGCAUCGAGCUGGUAGAGAAGUUUGCCUAACUUGGCACUCUUAGCCAUGAAGAUGAAAGCUUCGUUAUUCUUGUGUUUCGCAGCUAUAUGAAAGACAGUUUCUUUCUUUCCUCCUGUGACUGAGUCGAAAGACGAGGGCGACAUAUCGAGAUAUUCCCUAAGGAUUUCAAUAGAACCCUUCAUUGCCGCACAAUGUAAAGGUGUCAAGCCAUCGUUAUUCAUCAUUUCUUCAAGUUUUGGAUCAUCUAGGGUUUCUCCCUCGUAUUUCGUGGACAUCUGAAUCAAGGUGCUCGUGUGUCCCAAGCUAGCAGCGAAAUGAAGAGGAGUGUCACCUUUGGAGUUGGUGGAAGUGACUAGGGAAGGGCAGAGCUGCAAAACUUUUCCUUCGUUUGUUUCCGUCAGCCUAAACGAAUUCUCUUCCACGUACCGAGAAAAAGUGGCCUUGUCGUUUCUGCCGAAAUUUUGUGCAGUCAUCUUUAGUUUCAAGUGGCUUGAGAAAACUUUGAUCUACUUUAGAGUUUAGAAAUAAAUUUGUAUUUGCUGUUUAAGUUUGUUAUAUUCAUUCUCUUAAGGGUUCCUUUAAAUACUACUCUCUAAAGUCAACCACGCUCUCUUCGUCAAAAUAUAUAUUUAUUUUAUAUCUAUAUAGUUUCAAGUGGCUUGUUGGAGCUUUGAUCUAUUUGAGAUUUUCAUUCUCUUUAAACACUACUCUCCUCUCGUAAAAAGUCAAAAACUUAUUUUAGUUUCAAGUGGCUUGAGGAAACUUUGAUCCAUUUGAGAUAUAAAUUUGAAUUUGUUGUUUUAGAAUUGUUAUAUUCAUUCUCUUAAGGGUUAUUUUAAUUACUAGUCAGUGGCAGACCAAUUUUUUUAUUUUUUACUGGGUACAAUACAUAAUCUUAUUAUCAAUAUAUAGCAAAGUUUAUCUACACUAAUAUCAUUAAAAUCUACCAUACAUUAGAAGGUAAUACUUUUUUAAGAACAAAACUUUAGUAAAAAUUGUAAUCCUUUUUUUUAUUAAUGUGUUUUGGAGUCUAGUUAUGUGAUAUCUCAUAUAUUACCAUACAUGAUAUACACUGCUAGUAUAUGCGACUCCUUUAAUUUCCCUUGACGUGCGUCCGCCAUUGAAUCUAUCUAAAGUCAACGAUGCUCUCUUCAUUAAAUUUCAUUUUAUUUUUCGUUUAUAAAAUGAAAAUUUGGCCCACUUUACAGUUGCAUAAAGUAAUCGUUACAAUUUUAUUGGAUGUAUAGAGGUUGUAAUUUCUGUUAACAAUCUCUUCAUUGUCCACUAGGGUAAUUUUUUUUGUUGGUCAACUAGUUCAAAAAACUUAAAACCAACUUGUUGUUGUUAUAUCAAACACUCUCAAGUUUAAACUUAUAUAAGUUCCUAGCAAAUGGCACAAUACAAAAAGGAGAUGAAUCAACCAUUCCUAGGCCCUAGCUACAAGCCUAUAACGGAAUUAAGAAAGUGUGAAGAUAAUAAGUCUCUAUACCUUUGGAAGACUCAUUCUUCCACUAAUAACAGCUAAAACAAUUGAAAGAAUUUGCUCUGUUCCAUGAUUUCCUGUUAACCGAUUCAAUCUCAUCAGAGAAACUCUAUCCUAUUAAUAUUUGUGGUGUGGUAAGAUGUCUGCAUUUUCAUUUAAUAUUUGUGGUGUAUUAGGACAAUUGGUUCCUCUUUUCUCUUGCUUGUUUCUAUUUUCUGCUCAUUAAAAGUCGUUCGUCUGUUUUACUUAAACAUCACAAUUUUAGAAAGACAAAAAACAAACAAAUUUUUAUGUGGCAAACUCUUUUUCUUUGAAUACAAAGGUGGUAGUAAAAAAAAGUACUUUUUUAUAUUUUGUUUACAUCAUAAGAUGGUUCAUGAAUCAAUGGGCUAAUAAUAUUUUGUAAAAAAAGAAGAAAAAGUACUAAAGCUAUUUACAUCUAAAAGAUAUGUCAAUUUUCCUUUUUCUUUUCUAUACAAUUUUCCAGAGUUAUUUUUUUGUUAUUCUGUUGUUGAAGCCGAGUUUGUGUGAAAAAAAUAAACCAAUAACACGAUCACCUUCUUCUAAUCCACUUGCUCUUCAUCCUCAUCUUCACUGUGAUUCUUCUCCUCUGCAAUACCUUCUUUAUCUACAGACUCGCUUUGUGUCUCUUCUUCACUAUGUACAGCCCCGAGAUCAGUCUCUGUUCCAUGACCCUCCAGAGGAGCCACUUUGUCAUCUUCUGUAGUGGUACUUGGACUCUGCAUUGAUCUGUGUCAUAGUGUAUUAGUGUCAAGAAACUGUGACAGAGACAAAGACAAAAACUUUAAGUGUUGAGCAUAAUCAGUAUCAGAAAACUCACUCGUUUGUCACUUGUUGGGAUCUUGGAGAAUGGAGAUAACCCCAGACUGGAACCAGAUCUCUUGUUCUUGCUUCAAUAGUUCGAGUUUGGAUUCCUUCAAUCUCCAUCUCCCCUCCUCCACCACUAAUAUCUUCACCCCGAUUCAAUGCCAAUUUUUGAAACCUAAACUGUUUUGUGCAAAACACAUUACCAUUCUCCAACAACACAUUACCAUUUGUCCAGAUCAUUCUCUCAACAGAUGGAAAUUUUACCUUUCGCCUUUCCCAUAACGGUAGCUGAGUCGGCAGAUGCGUUUGCUGUUCUGCUUCAAAUAUGUACAAAUGACGAUUAUCAUCCACAUGGGUCUUUCCUUUCUUAGUUACUUUCCAAGCUUCCUCAACACUCUGUUUUCUAACAACCUCCGGAAACACUUUGCUUUUAGAAUCCACUGAUGUUCCACCUCCAUAUAUGUCACUGUGGUGAUCCUGCGUCUCUCUUCUAGAUCGGUUUUGGAUUAUGGACCACCUUCUUAUUGGAUCUACCGCUAACUUUCCUUCAGUCUCUAGACCUGACUCAAAGUCAAACCCCAUCAUCGCAGCAGUCUCAUGACCAGCACCAGCCGCAUUUUCCCGUAAGGCAUACUGUGUCAUACAUCCAGAAGGAGCAAACACCAGAAGAUUCGUCUUGGAGCACAUAUCAGCAACAGAACCAUAGUAGUUAUUGUUACUCUUUUCAUCGCAGUAACAGAAAGUGGAUGUGAUUGUACCCGGAACAGAGCCUCCAACCAUUCCAGCUGCUGCAGAAGCUGCAUCGCUCACAGUCCCAAUCCAUCCGCUGCUGUUUCCGCUUCUUAUCCUACUGAUUGCAGACAUAGGAACCGGAGAAUCCCCCUCUUUCUCAGGAUUUAUCUCAAACAGAUGACUUGUCCCUCUUGAAGAGCUAACCACAAUUAGAUUGCUAUCACUGCUGAAACAGAUGUCUUGUAUCACCUGAAAAUUCACAUUAAGAUAAAUCAAAAGCAUCACAUUUUCAACAUGUGUAGGUGAAGGGCUCUGCUUACCGCAUUAGUAAAACCGCGUUGAAGCCUGAACAGAUGGGCAAAAGUCGUUUUCUUCACCGCUCUGCUUGUAGAGAUUGUUGGCAUUAUUCUAAAGACGUUAAUAUUGUGCCCCUGAAUCGAAGCAGUCACCAAAAGCAGGCCACUUGGGUCAAAGCACAAAGCUGAAAUCGGACUCUUGUGUGCCUUAAACUGCGUUAUGACGCUUUUGUUUGUGAUAUCUUUGACAAUAACCUGCACAUACCAUGGAUAUGUUUAAGGCACAUACCAAUGGAAAAUCAACUUGAGAGCAAAAAAUUGAGGAGGAUUUUGUGUAUACCAUUCCUAUGCUCUCUGCAUCUGGCACAUUCUCAUUACCAACUCCAAUGCUUUUUAAACCAGGAAUAUACGGAUUGGGAAGAACCUCUGCGCAGUAUCGAGUCAAUGACUUGUACCCUUUGUCUCCAAGAUUUACUAUCCCAGAAGCGAGCUGCUUGCUCGAGUCUCUUGCAAAUUGUGCAACACUGGGUGAUGAUGACAGUGAGAGAAGUUCUGAAGUGAAAAUUGCAGAACUUGAGGUAGCAAUACGACUUCCGCUAUAUGCAAUCCAUCGUGGACCAACUGCAAGAGGGCCAUAUCCAACACCCGAGGAGCCACACACAAUGGAGUUAGUGACAAUCGUGUAAUCCAUUUCCAGUGUUGCAGCAUCAAAGCAAUCUAUCUGCAAAUACAUGUUUUUAAGUUACACGUUGUUAGUUUCAGAACAGAAAAAUCACAAAAACAAAAGUGACACAAUAUGACAUUUGAACCUGAGCUGCUUGUUGUACAGCAACAAUCCGAGAACAGCACCUAACCGAAUAAAUGGUAGCCCGGAAUUUCAGCGUAUGCACAUAAGACUGAGACUUUAACGAGUAGACAUAGACAUUAGUAGGAGUAGCCACGGUUUCACUUCCGGAGUUAUCAGAACUGAUCUUUUUACUUGAAUGUUCUUCCCAAGAAUCACCACACACAGCCAAAAGAGGACGGCUCUUAUAAAACCUAUCAUCUAAAGCUCCAGACUUUAUUGGAUUCAGUAGCAUUUGCAUAAAGAAUGCUUGUCCAUCAUGUGUAGAAACUAUAACGUGAACAUUCUCUGUAUCUUCAACAUCCCAAACUUGAAAUCCAGACUUAAAUGCUAGUAGAAGAACUCUUCGAGUAUCUCCAUCUUCUUUCUGUAGAUUAUCAAACCCCGCCCAUAGUACCUAAAGAUUCAAAAUUCAUCAACCAAGACUCAUCAAACACUCCAACAAACAUAAAGACCGCUCUUUUAAGAUAUCAAAAUCAUCCAAAUGAAGUAAAACAAUCCCAAAAGUUUCCAAAAAUUGAAGCAAAUACAAUACCUGAUCGUGAUGAGAAUCAACGUCCCUAACGGCGGAAGAAGCAGCUGAUACGGCGGAGCGAGCAACAGUAGAAGCACCAGAUGAAAUCACCUUAAGGCAAUUAGACAAAGCACGAAACGAACUCCGAGCUGAUCGUGACAUAACUCCGUCCGGCGACUUCGGAGAAGAACCGUCACCGUUUUUCCUCAUAAUGGUGGAGACUCUUCACUACCAAAAAGCUUUGAUCUUUAACCUCCAAAUGAAACAAAGUUUCGAUUUUUAUUCUCUAUAUCGACGCCUGAGAUAUUUCCAAGAAAAAUGAAUCGCCGAGAAAGACGGGGCAGAGAUAAAAAUUGCAAUUUUAAAACCGAAAUUGAAGAAAUUUGAUUAGAAUCUUUAAAAAUAGAAACAAAAUACACGCAAACUCGAAAAUUUGCUUCUUCUUCAAGUCGUCACGAAGCAAGAAACACACAAAUCAACAAGAAAGAAACAAAAAGAUCGAACUUUUACAAAAACCCAGAAGAUAGAAUCAACGAUCAAACUAACAAAAAGAUACUUAAGCUUGAAUCGCUAAAUGAAGAUGAUUGUAUAUACCUAAAAGCAACAAAUUUGUGUUGAAAUUGAAAAGAAUUAGAAGAUAUUAAAAACCCAGAAAAAAGAAUUAAGAGUCUCGAAGCAGUAAUCUGAUAAAGACUUUGGAAACGUUAAGGAGCAAGAAAAGGGGAAAGAUUUUUUGAGGAUAAGAAGAAGAGAGAGCGAAGAAGAAGACCUGAUUAAGAGUUGUUUUAGAAAUCUGUUGUUGUUUCAAAAACUUGAUAAAUGAUUUGUUUAUGCUUUCGUAUUUAUAUAUUGAAAAACAAAUUUCGGAUUAAGUUCUCAAAAACAAAUUUUGGAUUAAGUUCUCUUUUACGUAUCGUCUUUGUAUUUACUACAGAGAGAAAGAGAGACUCACCUUCCACGUCUCUUUCCCUAUUUAAAUUAAAAUAAAUCAUUGAGAAUGUCUGGUUUUUUUUGGUUAUACCAAUAAUUAAACCAAACCAACCUAAAUAUUAUUUGAAAUUUAAUACGUUUUAAUUCUCGAUUGCACUCAUUAAUGAGUUAAUUUUACGACGAAUUGACCAGAAAAAAAAAGGUCUAUAGUUUACAAUUGAUUAUAAGUUUUAUAACAAACCGUGUGUUUGACCCAAAAAAACGAACCGAAUUUUGCUUAUAAUAACAUUAAUAACUCUAAACCAAUCAAAUCUACCGAAAUUAGUACGACGUGCGCUAGUCUUAUCUUUUUUUUUUUCCGUGACGUGCGCUAGUCUUAGAUGAGGACUUUCAUUAGUUUAAUUUUUCUACUGUUCUUUUUAAUUAGUUUAUUGGUUAAAUAAAAUACUUUGGUUCGACUCGGUUUACUUGAACCGGUCACAAGCUCAAAAACUGAACCGAUGACAAUAUACGAGGAGUUUUUGUGGGUAUAUAGGCUCACGAAGUAGCUAGCUUUCUUCCUCUUUGUUCCCGGCUAAUUGAAGGAGGGUUUGACCAUAAUUAGUCUGACCAUAACUAAAAUGAAAACUUGGCGAGCAAGUUACUUCCUCUGUUUUAGUGUAGGAGAAGAUGUAAAACAUCACCAUUUCUUCAAUUAGGUUUUUCUUUUUUGCUUUUCCCUUAAGAACAUUCAUCAUGUCUCUGCUUCACUAUCCACACCUACGAAAUUUUCUUGGUUAAGUGGUACAAGAAGACCACUGGAAAGAUCAUUAACGGGUUUAGAGAAAAUGAAAACAAUAGCUGUAAUUAAUGGUGGUGUUCAAGCUCGACGAAAAAGGAAACGUUGUUUACACUCGAGACAUUGGAGAGAUCGCUGCAUUUCCCUCUCAGAAUCUGAACCUUCUUAUGAACCUGCUAGUUCUUGUGCUGGCCUGUGGCCUAACCACGUCGUAAUUUGUGAUGACCACGAAUUCCAAGUUGUCAAUUUGGCUGGUUCCCCAUUCUUUAGUAAAAUUUCUCUAUUGAGGGCACUCCAAAAUAUAGAAUAGCAUAGCCUCGAAUUGAGUCUGAGUGUGUCUUUUCUUUUAAACCUUUCAAACACCAAAUCUAUUUAUAGAAAAGAACCAUGUCAAGGUUUCAAUCCAUAUAGAAGUCAUGUGGAUCUUAUCCUAAUCCUCUACUGCAGGUACAUCCCAAGUAUACAUAUAUAAGCUUAUAUCACAAUUCUCAAUAAUUUCUUAAAACACAAACAUGAGACUUAGAGAGUGUGGUGUUAAAGAUUUUGAGUACCCAAGAACACUCUUUUAUUUAAGGGGGUAGGGCAAGUUACAUUACACUACAAGGUGUAAUAUUGCCACUAAGACUCUUAACUCACACAGUACAAACAUAUAUCUACGAUACAAACACGAACACGCCACAAGAGUGAGACUUUUUUUAUUAUCAUUAACAAAAUCACCAUGUGUGUACGUGUGCGUUUUUAUAGUCUGGUCCUCUUCAUGAUCUUAGUAAGGAGAUGCCUUGAACUGGCAGGAUUCAACUGCAGGGAUUUUGCAAAUCUUAGGCAAGUUCUGAGCAGUCUGAAACACAUGUUUCAUCUGUUGUUGUCCAUGCAUUCCCUGGAAUCUAACUUGUUGAGCAGCCUUUUUCAGUGUAGGACACACACACAUCUUGUCCACUUGUCUUAACUCAUUGCAACACAUUCUAAGAGCUGGUUGAUGUUGUUGAGGUGUUGGGUUCUCAUCGUCCUCAAAAUCAACAUCAAGAGUGAGCUCAAAGUCAUCAGCUUCGUAUCCGAUUCUUCCUUGUUGAGCUCGCUUGCGGAUCCAUUGCUUGCAACCUCUUAGUUGCUGAUGCUGCAUAAACUCCCUCUGGCACUUAUCUUGUUGUGGGUUGCUAACGUCGUCUUCUUCAUCGAACUCCACCACUGCGCGGUAGAUGGAUGCGUUGGCUAGGAGGAUGAAGAGAGCAAGAGUUGCGAAAACGAGAAUAAGCUUAGCCAUGGUUUGAUUUUGUUUAAGGAUUUGAGGUAUUUGGUGAGUGA